rnacentral:tRNA from 1 species
UCCCGUGUAGCUCAGUUGGUAGAGUAUUGGGUUUGUAACGCCAGGGUUGUUGGUUCGAUUCCCACGGGGG